CGGCUGAGCUGAGCUAGCUGACCAGUCAGGUACACUGACGUGUCACCCUGCCGCGACCCUGGCGCACUACACCCAUUCAGUACCAGUCGACGCGACGCGACACGACGUCAUUUCUGAAUUAAUUCUGUGUGCUGUGAAUUGAUCAACGACAAGCAACAUGGCGAAAGAGCGGCUCUUCGCCGCAAUCUUAGGAAUUGUUUUCCUUGCAGGCAUUCAUGUAUCAGCUGAGGGUGAUGGGCAAGUGAUGAGUGCCAGAGUAGAGAGCUGCACUGGGUGACGUUUGAAUAAGCUUCCAGAAGUGAAGCAAUUCAUCAAUGAGGACAUCCCUUAUUACCAUAAUGUAAACUUCAAGCCAGUGCCUGGGGCCAAUCCUGAUCUGUUGCUUCUCGAUGAGUCGGGCAACAUAGUGCGGAGGAUUGACCUGUCCAAGAUGAAGCGAGCAGAGCUGAAUGCCAUGAUGACCGAGGAGCUGGGAUUCUACAAGAAAGGAAACCUCGCGGAAGACGUGCCUGACGAGCAUUCCACAGGCCCCUAUUCUUCCAAGAAAGAACUGUAAUUUUCUUUUUCCCUUUCCAUCAACGUCCCAAAAUACAAUUCCUGCUGUCCUGUAGAGUAAGAGAGAGCGAGAGAGAGAAUUAUUUCAUUUGUAAACUCAUAAUAAAUUAAGCAUGGUGCCAGAAUUAUGUUAUGCGAUUAGAUUUGUGUCAAUAUCUGUUCUAAAGUAAGUUCAUGAUGUUGGAAGUUUAAGGCAAUUGGAACUUUCAGGUCAUCUUCAAAAAUGCAUCGCUGCCCUAUAGAGAUAGGUAGAGAGAGAGAAUUUUUGAUUUGUAGACUCAUAAUAAAUGAACCAUGGUGCCAUAAUUUUAAGUGAUGUUAUUUUUGUCAGUGUCUCUGUUCCAAAGUAAUAAGUUCAUGAUGUUAUAAAUUAAAGGUCAGGUUGAAAUAAUGAAAGGGGAUGCAAAUUACGAAUAAAUUAUGUGCUGCUCUGUAUUCUUGAAUGCAAAUGAGGUCAAUUGUCAAGCUUGGAAAGGUAAUAAAUCAUUGAGUCGCAAAGUUCUACUCACAGUAAAUGUGUAUGUGCUAAACAUUGUGUAUCAAUUUUGAGAAUUUCAAAGAUAAUGUACAAAAUUGUCCAAUAAAUUGGAAAGGUCUAACCAUCUUGUGCUAAGUACCAAUCGUGCACUUUGAAGAAUAGGAGAAUAUCACUGAAAUCAUAUUUCAAUAUGUAUGUUUGGAUUAUGUAGUGCCCAGAAUCUACUUAAAAUGGCAAUGUUAUUGGUCACAAAAUUCAUCAAGAUGGAAUGGAAUCAUUGAAAUAUAGAUAUAUGACACAUCCUAAAGGUAUAUCGUGUCUACAUGUAUAUAUACCUGUUAAACACAGUUUCUAUGUCGCUAAGCACUCAUAACCCUUUCUCAGAUGUGUAGUAGCAAAACAGAAGUAUUUUCUGGUGAUUGCAAAAUUGACAGCCUACUGUUAUUUAGCAAAUACUCAUCUGAGGAAGAUGUCUAAAGUGCAGACAACAAAGUGGGUAAAUUACAGGCAAAAGCCUUUUGGAUUUGGAUGUGUCAUUGAACUGUGUUAAUGUUCAAGUGUUAUAUAAUGAUUCUCAUGAAUGACAAAUUUUCCAGUGUGUAUUGUAUUACAUGUAGUUAUCUAAACUGCUUGGCAUUGAUGACUCCUAACAUUUUAUGUUAUGAUAAUCUCACACAUCUAAUUCAACACGUUGUUCUUACAGCACACAUAGUACUUGAAUGUAGAAUUCAGUGCAGUAUCUAAAUGCCAGAUUAUAUCUCCUUGGUUUGGUGAACAGAUGCGAUCACUUCUUUUCUCCAGUGCAUAUUAAACACCCUUUGUGCUAAAAGCAAGCACGGAAGAAUUCCAAAAAAAAUGGGGGAUGGGGGGGGGGGGGGGGGGGGGGGUACAUAACUAAAUUCUCUCUAACAUGGGUAAUCACUAGUGACAUUGGUUAGAAAAUAUACGCCUACUUUCAACCUCCAAAAUUGCUUUGAUAUGCAUUUCCAUUCCUAGUGACUUGAUUCCCAACUGUCUUGAUGUAUCUGAGAGGUUACCAGAUAUAAAUUACAAUAUGGCUUCAUGAGGAAAUAUAUGAGUUUAUAGACGAACAUAGCUGAGAUGGAAUAAUGAUAUGAACACUUAUGUUUAUGUGAAUCGUGUCUUGUUGAUAUUUUUAAGCAAUACCGGUAUGUAGAAAUUACUUUUUAGUGUUGUGUGCUGGACUCAGUUGACUGUAUAAUUUGCUAUGUGCCAGCAGAAAGGCACUUGCAGGGAUUUCCUAAUGCUUUAGUGCAUUAGAGUUUCUCCUACCAAUGCCCUUUUGCCUCAUGUUUCUUUGUGGAGUGUUAAUUUAGGUGCUUAAAAUGUGUAGCUUGUUCCUGUUAAUAAGAAGUUUCUCUGCAAAUUCUUACCUGAAAUGUUGUGCUACUAAAUUGUCUUUAUAUUGACAAUAAUUAUACAUGUAUGUAUGUAUCUCUCUCUCUCUCUCUCUCUCUCUCUCUUUAUCUAGCCCUCUCUCUCUCUUUCACUCUAUUCCAUUACAAGAGCUAUACCCUUAAGUUGAACAUUUCAAACAUUGCACAAGACUCCAAUGAUAUCUUAUAACCUGCAAUAAUGAUGCUAGUGGCACAAACUUUUCUCGAAAGUCGCAACUGGUUGAUAGGAACUACUUCCGCCUGGUUACUUGGAUAUUUUUGGAUUGUCUUUAUUGUUUGGAAUGUAUUUAUUUUAUUGUAGUGGAUGAUGUUAACAAUUUGUUUCUCAUGCCAAUGUUCAUGUAUAUAAUUUGAAUGAUAUAAAUGAUUCUAAAUUUACAG